AUUGAACGCUGGCGGCAUGCCUUACACAUGCAAGUCGAACGGCAGCACGGGUGCUUGCACCUGGUGGCGGGUGGCGAACGGGUGAGUAAUACAUCGGAACGUACCUUAUCGUGGGGGAUAACGCAGCGAAAGCUGUGCUAAUACCGCAUACGCCCUGAGGGGGAAAGCGGGGGAUCGCAAGACCUCGCGCGAUUAGAGCGGCCGAUGCCUGAUUAGCUUGUUGGUGGGGUAAAAGCCCACCAAGGCGACGAUCAGUAGCUGGUCUGAGAGGGCGAUCAGCCACACUGGGACUGAGACACGGCCCAGACUCCUACGGGAGGAAGCAGUGGGGAAUUUUGGACAAUGGGGGCAACCCUGAUCCAGCAAUGCCGCGUGAGUGAAGAAGGCCUUCGGGUUGUAAAGCUCUUUUGUCAGGGAAGAAACACCGGCUCUAACACAGUCCGGGAAUGACGGUACCUGAAGAAUAAGCACCGGCUAACUACGUGCCAGCCGCCGCCGUAA
rnacentral:rRNA from 1 species